UGAAUUCAUCCACUACGCUAGGUGGCGGCAUUCAGCUCUAAUCUCUCCGGUCCCCCACUCCAGGGAAAACGAAUGAGAGAUGCGAGUAGAAGGCAAAUUAAUAUGCUGAAUCUCCCCACAGUAAACGCAAUGUUUUAAAGUGUUUAUUAUUACAGUGCCUUCGUUAUAACGCGCUCUGAUCUACUCUGCCUGAUCUGCAACACACUGUCGUUGAUGGAUAUACGAUUUUUUAAGACGUCAGAAUUAAGAAGUGCAAAUAGGGAGAGAGGAGGGUGGAGAGAGAUCACAUACAGAGAGAGAGAGAGAGAGAGAGAGCGAAAGAAAGAAAAAAAAGAAAAAAGAAAGAAAGAAAGAGAACGCUUCCAUAAGCAGGUCGCUCAGGAAAAGAGUAUGAUAUAAAAGUGAACUACCAAAGCUACAUUGAAGUCGUGGAUCUCAGCUUUUCACACAAGACUCAAACUGUGUGUUUGACCAUAAAAGAAGCUUUGGCUCUGCAACCAAUGGAAAUGGUUGGUGAAAUCAGAGUGAGAAUAAUAGAAAAUCCAAGCUCAGAGAUAGUGAAGGUGAACAACAAUGAUGUUGAGCUACGGAAGAUAACAUCAGCAGAUUCUACAGGUCAGAUUAAGCUGGCACUUUGGGAACAACAAAUACCCCUUGUUAACCAAGGACGAUCUUAUUCCUUCACCAACCUGGGAGUGAGAGACAGAAAUGGCCUAUACCUAACAUGCACUCGAGAAACUUCUAUAAAUGCCAUACCACAUAUGCACCUACCCAAGGAAAUGCUUGUGAAACCACACCAAGAACAAGACGAACAGCUGUUCAGCAUUAAAGGGGAAAUCACUGGGGUCUGCCUUAAACAACAGUGGCAAUGUGGUAACUGCAAUGGUCGUUUCAACCCUGCUGAAGACAAUCUUGAUUAUGUACGAUGUGAACAAUGUAAACUACUGCAGAAAGCAAAUUCUUUCCUCAGAAUUGUCAGUGGAACUCUAAAAAUUGAACACAACAAAAUGAGCACCAAACUAACUCUGCCUAAUUCUGCAUUACAUGCCUUUCAGCAGAAACAACACAUUGAUGAUUGUGUUAACACAAAUACACUAGAAAUACACAUUAUGAAAUGUGAGACCAUGCUUGUUCAUUACAAUGACAAACACAUUGUAACAGAAAUGUCACCUUGUUCUAAGGAAUCACAAUUAAGCAGCUCAGAGACAGAAAUGACACUAACAGAUAACGAACCACAGUGCAGUAGCUGGGAAGCUGACCCAACACCAUAGGGUUCUUUAAAUCUUACCUCGGAGAUCAUGAACACUGCAGAAUUUAGCUCCAACCCUAAUCAAACUUACUCACCUGUGAUUUUGUUUGUGAUCAUGAAAACGUUGAUUAGCUUGCUGAGCUGUGUUUGAUCAGGGUUGGACCUAAACUUUGCAGUCAUCUGUACCUCCGGGGUAAGAUUUGAAGAAGGGGUGACAUUCACCAAAAACAACAAAAAGAGUAGACUGAACAACCACAGAAGACAAAUAUGUUUUCAGAAAUUGGAAGCCUUGAACAUUAUUUUUCCUUUUCAUUUAAACAUCUUUUCAUAUUAUAUUAAACAUUUAUAUUUUUCAUUAAUAGAGUUUAUAUCUACACUCACAGUAGAUAACAAAAAUACACAUGGCUUUCAAAAAGUUUUUUUUUACAUUUGCUGCCAAUCACAGUCAUUGCAGCAGUCUUUUUCUGUUGUUGCUCAUAGUUCGAUUCAAACAACAGAGUUGUCUAUAAUUGUAACGUGUAAUCAAUAAAACAAACACUAUACCCUGUUUGGAGCAUUUCAACAA